UAUUUAAUUGUGUUGAUUUCUAUUACAGUUUAUUAACGUGUACAUUUCGUAUGCACCAGGCAUAUUUAAUUUAUUCAAUAGUAAUGAUCUCGAAAUUCAUAAUGAAUUUAAAUGUCCGAAAUAUUUGUUUACACCCGAAACAUGUUAGAUUAUAAAUUUAUAUUUGUCAAUACUUAUCGUCAAGAUUCAAUAUUUCUAUUUGAUCAAUUAUGUUUAAUUCAAUACACAAGCGUGUAAAUAAUUUCUCUUUGAUAAACGGAAUCAAUCUGUUAUUUAAUUUCUGUUGACAAAAUGACCAUUACUAACUUUGUUGUUAGCAACGCUAUUUGGUAUUUAAAGAAAGAUAAAUUUUUAUUAAGGGACUCCGUUUGGAUAUGCCAACGAGAGCACAUGAACUGCGUUCGGAUUUUCCAUCGCAAUCAUGUAUAUUGUUUUUGGUUUAAAAUAACUAAUUUGUAACACUGAUAUUUUAUAUUUGGACUCUAUUAAAUGAAUUUGGACUUUAA